rnacentral:tRNA from 1 species
GGCCCGUGGGGUAGCUUGGUAUCCUUGGAGCUUCGGGAGUUCUUGACCCCGGUUCAAAUCCGGGCGGGCCCAC